rnacentral:rRNA from 1 species
AAAACAUAGCUAACUGCUAACAUAGAAAUGUGUGUAUAGUUAGUGAAACCUGCUCACUGAUAUCUAAUAAUAUUGAAUAACGGGUAUUGAAGAGCCGCGGUAACUCUGACCGUGCUAAGGUAGCAUAAUCAAUCGCCUCUUAAUUGGAGGCUAGAAUGAAAGGAAUAACGAACUUCUCCCUGUCUCAAGUGCAGGCAAACCGAAAUUUAGAUUCUCGUUAAGACGCGAGUAUUCCCUGAUCAGACGAGAAGACCCCGUCGAGCUUUACUUUAAUCUAUUAUGUAUUAGGUUCCAUAACAGAAAUUAAGAUCAAAUAGAGAAAAAGUUUAGUUGGGGUGACUACCCAAAGCAUAGAAACUUGGGUGAGCAAAGGUAAAGUAUAAAAUAGUUGGCUUUAUUGAAAGGGAGACAUCCUAUUCAGUCAUUUAGAUUUGUGGGCUUUAAAUACCCGUUUCCUAUAGGGAAACGAUAACGAAUAAAAGCUACCGCGGGGAUAACAGGGUCAUUUAGUCCUAGAGCUCUUAUCGAAGACUGAGUUUGCCACCUCGAU